GUGGCCGGCAUGGUCCCAGCCUCCUCGCUGGCGCCGGCUGGGCAACAUUCCGAGGGGACCGUCCUCCUCGGUAAUGGCGAAUGGGACCCA
rnacentral:ribozyme from 13 species